GUGGGCGUUCCAUUCGACCCGUCUUGAAACACGGACCAAGGAGUCUAACAUGUAUGCGAGCCUGCGGGUGACAAACCUUGAGGCGCAAGGAAACUGAUCUGUGGGAUCCCCUCNGGGGAGCACCAUUGACCGACCCUGAUCUUUUGUGAAAGGUUCGAGUGAUAGUAUGCAUGUUAGGACCCGAAAGAUGGUGAACUAUGCCUGAGCAGGGCGAAGCCAGAGGAAACUCUGGUGGAGGCUCGUAGCGAUACUGACGUGCAAAUCGUUCGUCGGACUUGGGUAUAGGGGCGAAAGACUAAUCGAACCAUCUAGUAGCUGGUUCCGGCCGAAGUUUCCCUCAGGAUAGCUGGAGCUCGUUUCAUGAGUUUUAUCGGGUAAAGCGAAUGAUUAGAGGCCUCGGGGGUGAAACACCCUCGACCUAUUCUCAAACUUUAAAUAGGUAAGGCGUCGGGGUUGCUCUGGUGAACCCCGGCNCUUGAAUCUGAGCUCCAAGUGGGCCAUUUUUGGUAAGCAGAACUGGC
rnacentral:rRNA from 1 species